GUGCUCGCUUCGGCAGCACAUAUACUAAAAAAUUGGAACGAUACAGAGAAGAUUAGCAUGGCUCAAGAGUUCAAAUCUCACAAUGGCAAACUAUGAAACAAUGUAACUUCAU